UACCAGCUCUCCGAGUGGUGUGGAUGUUUAUUGGGCCUAAAGCAUCCGUAGCUGGCUGGGCAAGUCCCCUGUUAAAUCCACCGAUUUAAUCGUUGGUGUGCGGGGGAUACUGUUCGGCUAGGGGACGGGAGAGGCCGACGGUAUUUUCGGGGUAGGGGUGAAGUCCUAUAAUCCCGGGAAGACCACCAGUGGCGAGGGCUGUCGGCUAGAACGCGCCCGACGGUGAGGGAUGAAAGCUGGGGGAGCGAACCGGAUUAGAUACCCCGGGUAGUCCCAGCUGUAAACGAUGCAGGCUAGGUGUUUGGGCGGCCACGUGCCGCUCUAGUGCCGCAGAGAAGUCGUUAAGCCUGCCGCCUGGGGAGUACGGCCGCAAGGCUGAAACUUAAAGGAAUUGGCGGGGAGCACCACAAGGGGUGAAGCUUGCGGUUU
rnacentral:rRNA from 1 species